rnacentral:rRNA from 1 species
CUCCCAACCCCUGUGAACAUACCUAUACGUUGCCUCGGCGGAUCAGCCCGCGCCCCGUAAAAAGGGACGGCCCGCCCGAGGACCCCUAAACUCUGUUUUUAGUGGAACUUCUGAGUAAAACAAACAAAUAAAUCAAAACUUUCAACAACGGAUCUCUUGGUUCUGGCAUCGAUGAAGAACGCAGCAAAAUGCGAUAAGUAAUGUGAAUUGCAGAAUUCAGUGAAUCAUCGAAUCUUUGAACGCACAUUGCGCCCGCCAGUAUUCUGGCGGGCAUGCCUGUUCGAGCGUCAUUUCAACCCUCAAGCUCAGCUUGGUGUUGGGACUCGCGGUAACCCGCGUUCCCCAAAUCGAUUGGCGGUCACGUCGAGCUUCCAUAGCGUAGUAAUCAUACACCUCGUUACUGGUAAUCGUCGCGGCCACGCCGUAAAACCCCAACUUCUGAAUGUUGACCUCGGAUCAGGUAGGAAUACCCGCUGAACUUAAGCAUAUCAAUAAGCCGGAGGAAA